rnacentral:rRNA from 1 species
CCUACGGGGCGCAGCAGUGAGGAAUAUUGGUCAAUGGCCGGAAGGCUGAACCAGCCAAGCCGCGUGAAGGACGAAGGUGCCAAGCAUUGUAAACUUCUUUUGUCAAGGGACAAAAUCAGGCUCGAGAGCCUGACCGAGGGUACUUGACGAAAAAGCAUCGGCCAACUCCGUGCCAGCAGCCGCGGUAAUACGGAGGGCCCGGGCGUUAUCCGGAUUUAUUGGGUUUAAAGGGAGCGUAGGCCGUUGUUUAAGCGUGCCGUGAAAUUUUGGGGCUCAACCAUGGGAGUGCGGCGCGAACUGGAGGCCUUGAGUGCGCGGGAGGGAGGCGGAAUUCGUGGUGUAGCGGUGAAAUGCUUAGAUAUCACGAAGAACCCCGAUUGCGAAGGCAGCCUGCCGCAGCGUUACUGACGCUGAGGCUCGAAAGCGGGGGUAUCGAACAGGAUUAGAUACCCGAGUAGUC